UGCCUGUGAGAUUCCAGGAUAAUUCAAAAGAAAACAUGCCAGUGAACUGGUGCCAUUUGGAAGCUUUUCUUCCAAAACAAAAAGAGCGUGUGGGUUGGUGGAACACUAGGUAUAUGAAAGAGCUCAGGCUUCAUGCAAACUCAGGUAAAGGUCUACCUGCGGUCCUUUGGAUGAUCACCAAUGAACUGAAUGUGUCUGGAUCGAGGUAAGGUGAGAAAAUGGCUGCAACCACAUGGAGGGAGGAGAGAAGACAGAGAUGGUUCUGAUAUGAUGAAGAGGAAAAAGAGGACAGCAGACAGAGAGAAUGGGAAGACUGGAGACACAAAAGUAUAGAGCAUAUAUCUGCAAGCUGUCCGUUGAGUCAUUCAGUUUGGAGCCAACUGUGAUGACAUCUCAAGCAUUUCCUCCAUCCAACUGCAUUAAGCUCCUGUACUUUCUGAGGUGCAGCGUGGGCGUGCUGCUGGAACCCUGGAACGCUGGAAACGACUAUCAACGCAGAGCAGAAUAAAACGCCCUGCGCUCCCUCAGUCUGCUUCUGCUGAUGGGCUGCAGUAUUGUAUCUCUCUAACAGUGUACACAGUUGUGCUUGUAGGCAGUUCAGGUCUGAACACUUGACUGGGGGUGAUUUCUUUAAGAUAUGUGAUCUUCACCAUCUCAAAUGGGAAAAAUAAGCUAAAUUCAGUGUAGAAAUGUACUUUCCGUGUUUUUAAUUUAUUUAUUUACUUUUAAGUCAGUUUUGUUAGUUUUGUUUAUUACCUGGUAUAACCCCAACUCCAUCUUCACAAUCAUAGUCUGAUAUCUCGCUGUCACUUAUCCUUUGGGAUCCUUUGAAGUAAAGAGGCAGAGAGAAAAGCAGGAAGAAAAAAGACAGAGAGAUAAGACAGUGAAAGAAGUCCUUCACUCCUAUUUUCAAUACAUCUGCAGUGGUCUCUAGUAAGAAUAAAUGCCUUGUAAGUCGAACUCUGGGGUAAAAACCUCCGGUGUGCCUGUAACCGUACGGAGAAUUAAGCCAGACAAAAAAGUAGCUUCAGAUGAAAGGAUUUGGAGUCUUGUUUCCUGGCAUGUGGACAUCUUGCCUCUGAUCAGCUAACAGCAACACAACUCUACCACUGACUCUGUUUUCUCUGCACCGUUGAUGUUUUAUCUCCACAAGUAAAUAACACAAGCCUGAAGGAGUUUUGCUGUGUGGUGGAGUUGCUAAUUCUAACAGUUAGCUUUUACUAGUCUAGACGCUCUCUGCUGUUUCCUGAACGCUAAAACAACAACAGCCUUCUUCGUCGUGACUAAGGAGCCACUUUGGUGAGCAUUUUUGAAGCCAAGAAGAAGUGCCUAAAAUUGCUGUUCCUUCCUGAUCCACUAGGGGCUGGCACCACCAUUGACUCCUAUGUUAAAAAUGCCCAUUUCACAUCAAAAAUAAACAUGUUUACAGCCUGGUUCGA